CCCUCUCCCGCUGCCUGGCCUGUACGCUGGGGACCCGGGGGUAGCGGGGUUUUGUCUCCCCGCUUUGUUCGGGACGCCGCCGUUCUCCUUUGUAGCGGCACCGCGGUGCCGGGCCUGGCGUGGGGGAAGGCCGCGGCCUGCUGGUGAGGCAGGGGUGCGCUGUGGGAGAGGGGCGGCCCGGCCCGGCCCGGCCUGGCCUGGACCAACGCGGCCCCUCCCUUCCCCCACGAGCGAGGCUCCGCGCCAGGCCCGGGCCGGGAGCGCGGGCGGGGCGGGGCUGGGAGCCGAGCCUCCCCCCUCUCUGCACGUGUGUCUUUUCCUGUCAACACCGCCGUGGCCCUGUGUGGGGAGUUCAGGUUCCUGGCGCGCCGCGUCCGCUUUCGGUGCUCCUGCUGAAAGGCCUUUUUAGAGCGGGAAAAAUCUCUUUUGCCUGUCUGAGGAUUGGCAGAGUUUUGUUUUAUCUUGGGCUGCGUUUGUGCUGGUGGUUAGUGGUGAGGCUGAUUCGGCUCUUUAGUCGGGCCAAGCUUGGAACAGUGGUAAAUGCCUCCACCAUUAUAGCGAUAGAGCUAGAAAUGUGGAAUGGUGAUCCUGAAAAGGUCCUGCACAGCCCAGUCCCCUGGGGAAUUCAGUAUUAAUGACGAAUACUGGUGAAUUGAAUAUUAACUUUCUGUAUAGGAAGCUGUGUCUUGUGAGCCUUGAUUGCUAGUGUUGCCUUUGGUUUACUGCAUUUUUUUUUCUUGUCUUUAGCUGGCUCCCUUCUUUGACGCACACAGGUUUAUAUCUACCAGUGGUGGGAUGUCAGAAUUGGAAAGUAGAAUUACUGGAUAUUUAUGAACUUAGCUCUUCCAGGAGGGGGAAACUUUAGUGUCUUUUUAUUUCUUCUUAAAACUUGUGAUGAUGUGGUGUGAUCUUCUAGUGACUACAAGCUAGCAGUCUUUUUCUCCUUACUUUCUUGACAGAAGUGAAAUAUCUUUCCACAUACCUAGUGAGAGGGUCAUUGAGAAAGACCAGAAAUGGUUGUAUGGGGCAAUAUGUUUCUCUUUCAUGUUUCUCUGUAAUUGUUCUGCUCUUGGUUGAGUCAGCAGGAAGCCAUAAUGGUGCAGAAAACACAAAUUUCAACUUGGGAGUAAGUGAAUAUACUUGUAAUCAGGUGUCUGUACAGUACAGAGUUCAUUGGUUGAAAUAAUUUUCUUUCGAGGUUGCUUGGAUAUGUAUGAAGAAGCCCUGUAAAUUAAAAAGUUUGUGUAUGGCAACUGAACAUUGGGCUGAUGCCAGCUGAGAUCCAGAAAAUUAUCAGGGGUGUGUGUAGAGCUUGAAAGAAAGUAAAUUAAAAAUGUAAUUAAAAAGGCACAGUUUAGAAAAGAUCUUUAUUAUUCUUGAUGCCAGUAAUGGAUUUUGUUAUCUGAACAGAUUAAGGCUGCCUUUAAAAGGUGUAGCCUUUUGAAGUGGGAUUUAGGGAAUGAGGAAUCCCUCACAGGAGGCACAGGGGUGCAGAACAAGGUGGUAAUUCUUGGUAGGUUAAGAAGUGAUAUUUGUCUUUUUUAGUGUUUACUGAUUGAUGUCCUUA